rnacentral:rRNA from 1 species
UACGUAGGGUGCGAGCGUUAAUCGGAAUUACUGGGCGUAAAGCGUGCGCAGGCGGUUCGCCAAGUCAGGUGUGAAAUCCCCGGGCUUAACCUGGGAAUUGCGCUUGAAACUAGCGGGCUUGAGUGUGGCAGAGGGGGGUGGAAUUCCACGUGUAGCAGUGAAAUGCGUAGAGAUGUGGAGGAACACCGAUGGCGAAGGCAGCCCCCUGGGUC